UACGUAGGGUGCAAGCGUUAAUCGGAAUUACUGGGCGUAAAGCGUGCGCAGGCGGUUCUGUAAGUCUGUCGUGAAAUCCCCGGGCUCAACCUGGGAAUGGCGAUGGAGACUGCAAGGCUAGAAUCUGGCAGAGGGGGGUAGAAUUCCACGUGUAGCAGUGAAAUGCGUAGAUAUGUGGAGGAACACCGAUGGCGAAGGCAGCCCCCUGGGCUAAGAUUGACGCUCAUGCACGAAAGCGUGGGGAGCAAACAGG
rnacentral:rRNA from 1 species